AAGAAUUUACGGGAUCUUUUUAACUUUAAAGAAAUCAAAAGGUGAUUUUUUAAACACUGACUUAAUUUAUGAUUUCGUAAAUUAACAAAUUGUAAAUUUGAAAUUAAGGGAUCAUAUUCAAAUGUAAUGUAACAGAAAUUCACCAGUCCAAUAAAGAAUUGAAGAACGUAAUUUUUAAAUAAAAAACGAAAUCCAGAAAUGAAAUUACGAUUAUAUAAUACUAACAGUAGUAAUCUAUAAAAUUACACACUCACCUAUCAAUUGAAAUGGAAAAUAUAAGCGAGAAACAGCAAGCUAUCGUCGGUGCUAUAUGGUUGGGAUACAAUUUUUUUUCCAAUGCUAACGAAGCUGUGAAGCCCCAAAUUGAAGUUUGAAAUUUUCUAUGGGAGUUGUGUUUUAAGAGACGUUUGAACUUCUCUGUGGGUGUUGUGGGUGUUGUGUACUGAGGGACGUUUGAACUUCUUUAUGUGAAUUGCGUUUUAUAGGUAUCAAUUCAUUUGCACUCAAAGGAGUUGGUAUAUGACGUCUGAUUGAAUUUCUGGGACGGUAUCAUUUAUAAUAGAAUCCCUUUUGAUUUGUAAGACUCUAUAUCCAUUUUAAAGGAUUGAAGUUUGAACCCUAUAAAAACAAAAUGACUUCUUUAUAUUCAAAAUGAUCCCGUAUAGUAAUGUUAUGUUAAAAACAUUUUGUCUGUCCUUGAAAGGAGUCGAACAUGGGUGCGUGGGGAUAUUACUCAAUAUGAUCAGCGUUCAGUAACCAAUACGACAAAGGGGUAUCAGCACAUCUAUAUUUUCAAAAGAACCAAUUUGUCUAUUGAAUUAGAGUUUGACUAUUUUUUUUUUCUUUUUACCUUAAAGGUGUAAUGAUCCUGUAAAUUCAUGGUCAAAAAUUAUACCAAGUAAUUUCCUCUUUGGCCAGAUUCAAAAGCCUAGUUAAACUUUAAAAAGAUGAUUUUUGCUCUAGAAAAAUCCAUAGUCAGGGUAACCUUUUAUUUUUAUUGUCGUAUUAGAUGUGUUUACUAAAACAUAAAUUAACUUCUAGGUGUGUAUGGAUUCUCAUCUUAGAUUCUUAAAGAGUAGUCGUCUAUUAAAAAGGUAAAUGUAACCUUCUAUUACGACGGUAUUGUUUUAGCAAAUAUCUAUAAACGUUUGUAAUGAAUGGAUUAAAUAUUGCAUGUAAAUUAUAAUAGUACUAUGAUGAAGCAUUUAGCGCAAGUCGUGAAGGCUUGAAAAGACUAAUUAUCUUGAACAUAUGCUUAAUUACUCCAUAAUUUUCCAAGUGCUUGAAUUAUCAAUCAAUAUUCGGUCCUAAUUCAAUAAAGGAUUAUUGACAGAAAACGCUUUUUUAUUAUAUUUUUACUAGGAAUUACUCCGUAUGUUUUUUUUAAUGAAAAUUAAAUUUUUUUACUAUGUAUUUUAAUAUGUGGGAUCAUUUUAUUUAUUAUGAAAUCUAAACAUUCGCUGCUUAUAAAACCUUAUUCUCAAAAUCUCAAUAUAUUAUAUAUUUUCUAGCACAAAUGGAUGUGCUGAUACCCCUUGCCAAACUGGUUACAACGAAGUUUAUAUGGUCAUCUUUACACUGCCUAGAUGUGUUCGAUCCUUUAUAUGUGGAUUUUUUUUUCCUUUGUGCCAUUGUUGUUUUAUGUUUCUAUACUUUUUGAAGUUGAGACAAUACAACAAGUUUGCUUCAAAAGAUCACAUGUGGCUGUAAGCACUAUUUUGAUUAGCUUUCUUUUAGCAGACUCUUUAUACUCUUAAUUAGACCUGUCAAAAAUUGACCCGACCCGAAAACCGACUCGAACCCGACCCGAAAAAAGCGGGUCUUGAACAAGAUUUCUCAACCCGUAACCCGUUUUUAUCUGAACCCGAACAACCCGGAAUUUUCGGGUCCAAAACGGGUCGGGUUCGGUAUGACCCGUCGGGUUUAGUGAUAAAGUGAUUUACUUAUUUUUUUGAAUUAUUUUUUUUGAAAAAAGGGUAAAAAAACAAAACCUAAAACUAAACUCUCAAACAGCCGCUGGCUGCUCUCAAACCCUCAUCUCUCAUUCUCUCUCAUAGCCUCAAACCCUCUGGUUUACCGCCGACAUGGGUUGACGGUCAAGCUCUCGUCCUCCUUUGCAUAAGCGAGGAGCUUCUCCAGCAGGUCGCAUUCUAUUUCCUCGUGGUCAAUCAAUUUUUUCAUCAUCUUCAUCUCCCACUCUCGAAGAAGGAGUUGAGCCUAAUUUGGGUGGUGCAAGUACUGGUGCUACUAGUCGCGGACUCGCGGUGGUGAGAGUGGACAAGAAAACUAAUGACCACAAGAAAAUGGGCAUCAAAUAUGUACUAGUAUAUUAUAUUAUUACUAAUAUAAUUACUACUAUAUUAUAUUAUUAAUUUAUUACUAAUUAGAUCUCUCUGCAAUGUUAUAUUAUUAUUACGAAUUUACAACUAUGUUUAUAUUGCUGCUGCAUUACUAUUUCUUUCAUGCUUUAUAUUUAUUAAUAAUUAGAUC